rnacentral:rRNA from 1 species
AUGGAUAUUUUACAAGCUCAUCAGCUAAUCAAAAGGCUGGCGAGAGGUUUCAGCCUAUUACCUGGAGAGAUUGUUGUUGUUUCUCUUGACAGGUUUGGUUCUUCCGUUCUUUGGCCAUCACUCCAUUUCAUUGCGGCCUAUGUUGAACACGAUGUUGGUGCCACUUGUACAUUGUACUAUGUAUGCGCCGAAGAGCUUACACUGGUGGUCACAUCGAAUGAAUGGAUGGAUGCAUUGCAUGCAGUACUGCUAGCAAUGUGCUACAACUUGUGGCGAUGGAGCCAGCCACCAUGUAGAAGCUUCCAAGGCAGACACGUGCCGGAAUUAACAAAGUUUGGGGGUCGAUCCAUCUGCUGCUUCGUGGAGUUUGGUUGA